UUCCAGACUCCUACGGGAGGCAGCAGUGGGGAAUAUUGCACAAUGGGGGAAACCCUGAUGCAGCGACGCCGCGUGAGCGAUGAAGUAUUUCGGUAUGUAAAGCUCUAUCAGCAGGGAAGAAAAUGGCGGUACCUGACUAAGAAGCCCCGGCUAACUACGUGCCAGCAGCCGCGGUAAUACGUAGGGGGCAAGCGUUAUCCGGAUUUACUGGGUGUAGAGGGAGCGUAGACGGCUGUGCAAGCCAGAUGUGAAAGCCCGGGGCUCAACCCCGGGACUGCAUUUGGAACUGUGUGGCUGGAGUGUCGGAGAGGCAGGCGGAAUUCCUAGUGUAGCGGUGAAAUGCGUAGAUAUUAGGAGGAACACCAGUGGCGAAGGCGGCUUACUGGACUGUAACUGACACUGAGGCACGAAAGCGUGGGGAGCAAACAGGAUUAGAUACCCUGGUA
rnacentral:rRNA from 1 species